rnacentral:rRNA from 1 species
UACGAAGGGGGCUAGCGUUGUUCGGAAUUACUGGGCGUAAAGCGCGCGUAGGCGGACAUUUAAGUCAGGGGUGAAAUCCCAGGGCUCAACCCUGGAACUGCCUUUGAUACUGAAUGUCUGGAGUUCGGGAGAGGUGAGUGGAAUUCCGAGUGUAGAGGUGAAAUUCGUAGAUAUUCGGAGGAACACCAGAAGCGAAGGCGGCUCACUGGCCCGAUACUGACGCUGAGGCGCGAAAGCGUGGGGGGCAAACAGG